CACUGAGUGGACACGGAACGCUUUUUAACAAACUCAUUGCAAGAAUUUCAAUGCAUAGUAUUAUAUUAUCAAUCGAUUGGAAACACAAAUUUCAUAUUCCUCUGGUCUCAAUCACCCGAACAAAGAUACAUAUACAGUCUCCUCUCUACUACCGCUCCACUUCCUUCCCCAUCAUUCACUACACAAUGGAGAGGCAUCCCGACAAAGCAUCUCCCCUGCUUUUUGCUGUUAAUCAACAGAGAUUUGAGCUCUUCUCUGUAGACCCUUCCACUACUUUGCUCCAAUUCCUUCGCCAACAUACUUCUUUUAAGAGUGUCAAGCUUAGCUGUGGGGAAGGCGGUUGUGGUGCUUGUGUUGUGUUAUUGUCCAAGUAUGAUCCUGUGUUAGACAAAGUCGAAGAAUUUACAGUAAGUUCAUGCCUCACGUUGCUUUGUAGCAUACAAGGGUGUUCAGUUACAACCAGUGAAGGUAUUGGAAAUAGCAGGGAUGGUUUCCACCCAAUUCAUCAAAGGUUUGCUGGUUUCCAUGCUUCUCAGUGCGGCUUUUGUACUCCAGGAAUGUGCGUCUCACUUUUUUCAGCCCUCGUCAAUGCUGAAAAGACCAAUAGACCCGACCCCUUAUCAGGAUUCUCAAAGCUGACUGUUUCUGAAGCUGAAAAGGCCAUUUCUGGAAACCUUUGUCGUUGUACAGGAUAUAGGUCAAUUGCUGAUGCUUGUAAGAGUUUUGCUACUGAUGUCGAUGUGGAGGAUUUAGGGUUGAACUCAUUCUGGCCAAAGGGAUGUGGCAAGGAAGUGAAAUCGAGUAAAGUACCACUUUAUAGUCAAAAUAAUAGCCUGUUAUCAUUUCCAGAAUUUUUGAAAAAGGAUCUUAGGCCUAUCUCUUUUAUGGACUCUAAGGGGCGUACCUGGUUAAGUCCAGUUAACAUCAAGGAGGUGAGCAGAUUGCUAGAAUGUAACGAGACUAUCAACACAAGUAAAACAAAGUUCGUUGUUGGCAACACAGAAGUGGGAUAUUACAAAGAGUCUGAACAAGUUGAAAGAUAUAUUAAUCUUAGACACAUUCCUGAGCUUUCAGUUAUCAGAAUAGAUUCAACAGGAAUAGAGUUUGGUGCAACAGUAACGAUUACAAAAGCUAUUGAGGCCCUGAAAAAUAAUAACCAUGAACCGUCAUCCAUAGGUGAGAUGGUGUUCCAUAAAAUAGCGGUGCACAUGGAGAAAAUUGCUUCUGGGUUUGUACGAAAUACUGCAAGUAUUGGGGGAAAUUUAAUGAUGUCUCAAAGGAAACAGUUUCCUUCAGAUAUUGCCACAAUAUUUCUUGCUGCAGGUUCCAUGGUAAAUAUAUUGAGGGGUUCCAAUGAAGAAGUGAUUAUGUUAGAUGAGUUUCUCAAGAGACCUCCACUGGGUCCUAACUGUGUACUUUUAAGUGUUAAGAUCCCAAAUUUGGAUUCACUUAGAGAUAUUUAUCCAAGAGAUACUACCGUAUUGUUUGAUACUUUUAGAGCUUCGCCUCGGCCUCUUGGAAAUGCAAUGCCGUAUCUAAAUGCUGCUUUCUUAGCUGCAAUCUCUCCGUGUAAAAAUUCCAAUGGUAUCGUAGUGAAUAGCUGUCACCUAGCUUUUGGAGCAUAUGGGGCUAAGCGUGCAAUUAGAGCAAGAAAGGUUGAAAAUUUUCUAGCUGGAAAAAAUAUCGAUUAUAAUGUCAUAUAUGAAGCUGUCUCAUUGAUUCGAUCCACUAUAGUCCCUGAAAAGGGGACAUCAUUUCCAGCUUAUAGGACAAGCUUAGCAGUUGGCUUUCUUUUUGAGUUCUUAAGCUCUUUGGUUGAUGGCAGUGCUGCAAUAAAGAGUGAUUCCCUAAAUGGAUGCAUGAAUACCUCGUCAGCAUUACCUUACAACAAAUUUAGUUCAAACCAUGCCACAUUCGAUUAUAACAAAACUAAGGCUCUACUAUCAUCUGGAAAGCAGACAAUUGAAUUAAGCUCAGAAUAUCAUCCAGUUGGAGAUACGAUUAUAAAAUCUGGAGCUGCUAUCCAAGCUUCAGGUGAGGCAAUCUUUGUGGAUGAUAUUCCUUCACCAACAAAUUGCCUACAUGGAGCAUUCAUAUAUAGCAGAAGGCCUUUGGCAUGGGUGAAGGGACUGAAUCUUUCUCAUGAACCUCAACCAGAGGGAGUUAUAGCUGUUAUUUCCACAAAAGAUAUUCCUGUGGGUGGACAUAAUGUCGGUACUAGAACUAUAUUUGGCGAUGAACUUCUAUUUGCAGAUAAGUUGACCGAGUGCGUUGGUCAACCAAUUGCUUUUGUGGUAGCAAAUACGCAGAAACAUGCAGAUAUGGCUGCAGACCUUGCAGUGGUGGAUUAUGACACAGAUAAUUUGGAAGCACCUAUUCUUUCAGUAGAAAAUGCUCUUGAAAGGUCAAGUUUCUUUGAGGUCCCUUCAUUUCUGUGUCCAGAACAGAUUGGAGAUUUGUCAAAAGGAAUGGCUGAAGCAGAUCAACAUAUUAAGGCUGCUCAGAUCAAACUUGGGUCACAAUAUUAUUUCUAUAUGGAGACACAUACUGCACUUGCCAUUCCAGAUGAAGAUAACUGCAUGGUAGUCUACAGUUCAAGCCAAUGGCCAGCUAACGCGCAUUCUGUUAUUGCAAAAUGCCUUGGUGUUCCUGAAAAUAAUAUCCGUGUAAUUACUAGGAGGGUUGGAGGAGGCUUUGGUGGAAAGGCCACAAAAUCUAUGGUUGUUGCUACGGCAUGUGCACUUGCAGCUCACAAGUUACGCCGUCCGGUCAGGAUCUAUCUUAACCGGAAGACUGACAUGAUAAUGGCAGGAGGGAGACAUCCAAUGAAAGUUAAUUACAAUGUGGGGUUUAAAUCUAAUGGUAAAAUUACAGCAUUGGAAUUAGAUAUAUUGGUUGAUGCAGGGAUGAGUUGUGAUAUAAGUCCAGCUAUGCCACACAACAUUGUCAAUACACUUAGGAAGUAUAAUUGGGGUGCUUUAUCUUUUGACAUAAAAGUAUGCAAAACAAACCACACAAGCAAAUCUUCAAUGCGAGCCCCUGGAGAGGUACAAGGAUCCUUUAUUGCGGAGGCAGUAAUUGAACAUGUAGCAUCUACUCUUUGCAAGGAUGUGGAUACUAUCCGAAAAGUAAACAUGCAUACUUUUGACAGCCUCAAAAUAUUCUUCAAGGAUGCAGGUGAACCUCAAGAGUACACAUUACCUUCAAUUUGGGAUAGGUUAGCCACAUCUUCAAACUUAAAACAAAGGACUGAAAUGGUAGAUAAAUUUAAUAGUGACAAUAGAUGGAAAAAGAGAGGCCUUUCUCGAAUUCCUGUCACACAUGAGGUUAUUUUGAGACCAACCCCUGGUAAAGUGAGCAUCCUAACUGAUGCUUCUGUUGUUGUGGAAGUUGGAGGUAUUGAACUUGGCCAGGGGCUAUGGACAAAGGUAAGGCAGAUGGCUGCGUAUGCCCUUAGCUCAAUUGAAUGUGAUGGAACCAGUGACCUGUUGGAGAAGGUGAGAGUGGUUCAAGCUGAUACCAUCAAUUUAAUACAAGGAGGCUGUACAGCUGGGAGUACUACCUCUGAAUCAAGCUGUGAAGCAGUUAGACUUUGCUGCAACAUACUGGUAGAGAGACUAACAUCUCUAAAGAAAAGGCUGGAGGAGAAAAUGGGUUCGGUCAAAUGGGUUGAGCUCAUAUGUCAGGCAAACUUGCAAGCAGUGAAUUUAUCAGUUAAUUCUAUGUUUAUUCCUGACUUUGUUGCAAUGAGAUACUUAAAUUAUGGAGCUGCCGUGAGUGAGGUGGAGGUUGAUCUUCUCACAGGAGAAACUACAAUUUUGCGUGCAGAUAUUAUUUAUGAUUGUGGACAGAGUCUCAACCCUGCUGUGGAUUUGGGACAAGUUGAAGGAGCUUUUGUUCAAGGAAUUGGAUUUUUUAUGUCAGAAGAAUACCUUACAGAUCCUGAUGGACUAGUGAUUAAUGACAGCACAUGGACUUACAAAAUUCCUACUAUUGAUACCAUACCAAAACAGUUCAACGUUGAAAUUUUGAACUCCGGAAAUCAUAAAAAACGCGUUCUCUCGUCAAAAGCUUCAGGAGAACCACCAUUAGUUCUAGCUGCAUCCGUUCACUGUGCAACAAGAGCGGCCAUUAAAGAAGCACGGAAACAGUUAUGUACAUGGCGCCAUCAACUUGAGUUUGAUUACUCGUUACUAUUAGAGGUCCCUGCUACCAUGCCUGUUGUUAAAGAGUCAUGUGGGCUGGACUGUGUGGAAAGUUACCUGACAUGGAUCAAGGAAUCAAGAAGCAAUAGGAUCUGACGUGAUAUUUGGCCUCUGCAAACACAGUAGAAAAAUGAGUAGAACAGAGAUCACGGAUCAUUGGGGAAGUUAUGCUUCUGGUAGGCGGUGGAUAUGAUGAUGGCACAAUGAGGCACGUUUUCUGCAACACGGCAUUGAUAGAGCAUUUAAUUAGCAAAAGCUUUUGUUGGAGUAAAAUAUGAGCAUUUGAAAUCAAUUCAAAGGAGAAAAUGGAAUCAGCACAGAGGAGAAAUUUUCAUAAAUCGUUAAUUGAGCUAGCUUUCCAUUUUACCUCAGUUUUUCUGCUAAGCUGACCAAUAAGAAGACUCCAAUGGAAUCCCACUGACCUAUUUCAUCUGAUUUUCAUUUUAAAGGUUGAGGAGUUUAAGAUAGCCGUAUAGAUGUAAAAGAGGUUGGUUUUGGAGAAGAGGAAGCCAUUUUUCCAUGGGAGAGAAGUUGGAGGAAGAAGGGGAAGCUCUGCACCUCCUAUUUUCGGCAACUUCUCAUCUUUUUCAAUUUUUUCUUAUUCUAAACUUUAGUCUAUUGUUGUUUAUUUUUGUUUUAUGAUUUUUAAAAAUUUGCUUCCUUUAUUUUUCAGCUUGUAACAUGAAUUAAUCACUUUUAAGUGAUGAUUAGAAAUGUUAGUAUAAAUCACUUGGUUCUUUUGCAA